UCCGGUUUAACACCGGCGGUCUCCAUAGAGUGCCCAACUAAAUGGUGGCAACUAGGGAUAAGGGUUGCGCUCGUUAAGGGACUUAACCCGACAUCUCACGAUACGAGCUGACGACAGCCAUGCAGCACCUGUCUUCCUGCCUCCGAAGAGGACGCCCUAUCUCUAGGGCUGUCAGGAGAUGUCAAACCCAGGUAAGGUUCUUCGCGUUGCAUCGAAUUGAACCACAUGCUCCACCGCUUGUGCGGGCCCCCGUCAAUUCCUUUGAGUUUUAAUCUUGCGACCGUACUUCCCAGGCGGGGUACUUAAUGCGUUUGCGUCGACACUGCAGGGGUCAAUUCCUGCAACAUCUAGUACCCAUCGUUUACAGCGUGGACUAC
rnacentral:misc_RNA from 1 species